rnacentral:sRNA from 1 species
GCUGGGCACAGUGGCACAUACCUGUAAUCCCAGCAACUUGGGAGGCUGAGGCAGGAGGAUCGCAAGUUCAAAGCCAGCCUCAGCAAUUUAGCAAGGCCCUAAGCAAUUUAGAGAGUUCCUGUCUCAA